rnacentral:rRNA from 1 species
GACGAACGCUGGCGGCGUGCUUAACACAUGCAAGUCGAACGGAAAGGCCCUGCUUUUGUGGGGUGCUCGAGUGGCGAACGGGUGAGUAACACGUGAGUAACCUGCCCUUGACUUUGGGAUAACUUCAGGAAACUGGGGCUAAUACCGGAUAGGAGCUCCUGCUGCACGGUGGGGGUUGGAAAGUUUCGGCGGUUGGGGAUGGACUCGCGGCUUAUCAGCUUGUUGGUGGGGUAGUGGCUUACCAAGGCUUUGACGGGUAGCCGGCAUGAGAGGGUUACCGGCCACAAUGGGACUGAGAUACGGCCCAGACUCCUACGGGAGGCAGCAGUGGGGAAUAUUGCACAAUGGGCGGAAGCCUGAUGCAGCGACGCCGCGUGCGGGAUGACGGCCUUCGGGUUGUAAACCGCUUUCGCCUGUGACGAAGCGUGAGUGACGGUAAUGGGUAAAGAAGCACCGGCUAACUACGUG